rnacentral:rRNA from 1 species
GACGAACGCUGGCGGCGUGCCUAAUACAUGCAAGUAGAACGCUGAAGGAGGAGCUUGCUUCUCUGGAUGAGUUGCGAACGGGUGAGUAACGCGUAGGUAGCCUGCCUGGUAGCGGGGGAUAACUAUUGGAAACGAUAGCUAAUACCGCAUAAUAGUAGAUGUUGCAUGACAUUUGCUUAAAAGGUGCAAUUGCAUCACUACCAGAUGGACCUGCGUUGUAUUAGCUAGUUGGUGGGGUAACGGCUCACCAAGGCGACGAUACAUAGCCGACCUGAGAGGGUGAUCGGCCACACUGGGACUGAGACACGGCCCAGACUCCUACGGGAGGCAGCAGUAGGGAAUCUUCGGCAAUGGACGGAAGUCUGACCGAGCAACGCCGCGUGAGUGAAGAAGGUUUUCGGAUCGUAAAGCUCUGUUGUAAGAGAAGAACGAGUGUGAGAGUGGAAAGUUCACACUGUGACGGUAUCUUACCAGAAAGGGACGGCUAACUACGUGCC